CCUACGGGAGGCAGCAGUGGGGGAUAUUGCACAAUGGGGGAAACCCUGAUGCAGCGACGCCGCGUGGGCGAAGAAGGAUGUCGGUAUGUAAAGCACUAUUAGCAGGGAAGAAGAAAUGACGGUACCUGAGUAAGAAGCACCGGCUAAAUACGUGCCAGCAGCAGCGGUAAUACGUAUGGUGCACGCGUUAUCCGGACUUACUGGGCGUAAAGGGAGCGCAGGCGGCACGGCAAGCCUGAUGUGAAAGCCCGCGGCCCAACCGGGGGACGGCAUUGGGAACUACCGGGCUGGGGUGCCGGAGAGGUAGGCGGAAUUCCUAGGGUAGCGGUGAAAUGCG
rnacentral:rRNA from 1 species